GGGGCGGGGCGGUGUCUCCCUCACGUGACCCCAACAGCGCCCAGCGCGUGGCGCUGCGCCCCAACCUCGGGGUCGGUCACAGUCUGCGCCUGCGCGGCCCCGGCUCGCUAGCCGUCCUGCGGGACGCCGGCGGUGAUGGGAAAUCCAGUUAUCAAAAUUGAUUCAAGAAGAGAGAACCUAACAGAACAAUAACAAUGGAAGAAAUUGGGAACAUUAUCACAAAGCUAUCAUCCUGCCAAACUCCAGGCUCAGAUGUCACAGGUGAAUGCAAUUAAAC
rnacentral:lncRNA from 1 species